UAAGCAGAAUGAACAAUCGCGGCUGCAUUCGUGCAGGUGAGGAAAGUCCGGGCUUCACAGGGCAGGAUGCCGGAUAACGUCCGGUGGAGGUGACUCUAAGGAAAGUGCAACAGAAAUAUACCGCCGUUCGGGGCGAAAGCACCGUUCUGGUAAGGGUGGAAAGGCAGUGUAAGAGACUACCGUGUGGCUGGUAACAGCCAUAGCCAUGUAAACCCCAUCCGAAGCAAGACCAAACAGAAAGCCAUAGACUUGCCCGGUCUGCUUUCAGGUAGGUCGCUUGAGGCUGUCGGUAACGGCAGUCCUAGAUAGAUGAUUGUUCUCGACAUAACCCGGCUUAUAGUUCUGCUUACUCU
rnacentral:RNase_P_RNA from 1 species